rnacentral:rRNA from 1 species
AAUGAACGCUGGCGGCAGGACUAACACAUGCAAGUCGAGCGAGCGGAGGACGGGUGAGUAAGGUAGUGGAAUCUGCCCAAUAAAGGGGGCUAACUACUGGAAACGGUGGCUAAUACUGCAUAAUAUCGGUUGAACCCUGAUGGGUGUAGCUAGUAGGUGUGGUAAAGGCCACCUAGGCGACGAUCUCUAGAUGGUCUGAGAGGAUGAUCUGCCACACUGGGAAUGAGACACGGCCCAGACUCCUACGGGAGGCAGCAGUAGGGAAUAUUGCGCAAUGGGCGCAAGUCUGAUGCAGCCAUGCCGCGUGAAUGAAGAAGGCCUUAGGGUUGUAAAGUACUUUUGGCGGUGAGGCGGUACCCAAACAGGAAGCACCGGCUAACUCCGUGCCAGCAGCCGCGGUAAUUC